AGGUGAAGAAUCGGAAGAUGAUUCGCUGAGUAGAAAAUACUUGCUGAUUGUACUGCCCGUAUUAGUUAUUGCGAUGUUUGUCAUCUUUGUUUUCCUAUUAAGAAAAACAAAGCAAGUUCAAUCAAGGCCUAGCAUGACGCUCUCGAUGCAAGGACAGUUCCCGACGAAAAGAGGAUCUGUUCCCUACAAGG